rnacentral:lncRNA from 1 species
AAGAGAAAGUUUCAGGGAAGGUUCUUGAAGGAGGAGACCAUAUUGAGUCGGCUGAAACAGAGAAAAGUACUCUAGAUUCUGUGCAGAUAGAGCCUGAAGGGAAGGUUGUUGAAGGAGAAGACAGUAUUGAAGUUGCUGGAAAAGAGAAAGAUGCUGCAGAUUCUGUGCAGAUAGAGCCUGAAGGGAAGGUUCUUGAGGAAGGAGGCAAUAUUGAGUUUGCUGAAAAGGAGAAAGAUGUCACAGAUUCUGUGCGGAUAGAGCCUGAAGGGAUGGUUCUCAUAGGAGGAGAUAAUAUUGAUUUUACUGAAAAGGAGAAAGAUAAAGCUGAUGCGGUUCCGGCAGAGUUUGAUGU